rnacentral:sRNA from 1 species
GCGAAUUCAUUCAUUGCGCCUACAAAGUU